GACAGAGGUGCCGAGCGUUAGGCGGAAUCACUGGGCUUAAAGCGUGUGUAGGCGGGCGGGCAAGUACCUUGUGAAAUCCCACGGCUCAACCGUGGAACGGCUGGGUAUACUGCCUGUCUUGAGCCAACUAGGGGCGAGCGGAACAGACGGUGGAGCGGUGAAAUGCGUAGAUAUCGUCUGGAACGCCGAAGGUGAAAACAGCUCGCUGGGGUUGUGCUGACGCUGAGACACGAAAGCUAGGGGAGCAAACAGG
rnacentral:rRNA from 1 species